rnacentral:sRNA from 1 species
GCUGGGCAUAGUAGUGCAUGCCUGUAAUCCCAGCGGCUUGGGAGGCUGAGGCAGAAGGAUUUUGAGUUCAAAGCCAGUCUCAGCAAUGGUGAGGUACGGAGCAACUUAGUGAGACCCUGUCUCUA